rnacentral:rRNA from 1 species
AGUGAACGCUGGCGGUAGGCCUAACACAUGCAAGUCGAACGGCAGCACAGUAAGAGCUUGCUCUUACGGGUGGCGAGUGGCGGCCGGGUGAGGAAUACAUCGGAAUCUACUUUUUCGUGGGGGAUAACGUAGGGAAACUUACGCUAAUACCGCAUACGACCUACGGGUGAAAGCAGGGGAUCUUCGGACCUUGCGCGAUUGAAUGAGCCGAUGUCGGAUUAUCUAGUUGGCGGGGUAAAGGCCCACCAAGGCGACGAUCCGUAGCUGGCCUGAGAGGAUGGUCAGCCACACUGGAGCUGAGACACGGUCCAGACUCCUACGGGAGGCAGCAGUGGGGAAUAUUGGACAAUGGGCGCAAGCCUGAUCCAGCCAUACCGCGUGGGUGAAGAAGGCCUUCGGGUUGUAGAGCCCUUUUGUUGGGAAAGAAAAGCAGCAGGUUAAUACCCCGCUGUUCUGACGGUACCCAAAGAAUAAGCACCGGCUAACUUCGUG